CACGUAGGAGGCAAACGUUAUCCGGAUUUACUGGGCGUAAAGCGCGUGUAGGUGGUUCUGUAAGUAGGGCGUGAAAGCUCCCGGCUCAACUGGGAGAGGCCGUUCUAAACUGCAGAGCUAGAGGAUGGUAGAGGGAGGUGGAAUUCCAGGUGUAGCGGUAAUAUGCGCAGAUAUCGGGAGGAACACCAGUGGCGAAGGCGGCUUCCUGGCCUGUUCCUGACGCUGAGACUCGAAAGCCAGUGUAGCGAACGGGAUUAGAUACCCCCCGUAGUCCCUGA
rnacentral:rRNA from 1 species